UACGUAGGUGGCAAGCGUUGUCCGGAAUUACUGGGUGUAAAGGGCGUGUAGGCGGGAAUGUAAGUCAGAUGUGAAAUCCCAGGGCUUAACCCUGGAGCUGCAUCUGAAACUAUGUUUCUUGAGUGCCGGAGAGGAAAGCGGAAUUCCUAGUGUAGCGGUGAAAUGCGUAGAUAUUAGGAGGAACACCAGUGGCGAAGGCGGCUUUCUGGACGGUAACUGACGCUGAGGCGCGAAAGCGUGGGGAGCGAACAGG
rnacentral:rRNA from 1 species